GCGAGUGAAGCGGCAAAAGCUCAAAUUUGAAAUCUGGUACCUUCGGUGCCCGAGUUGUAAUUUGGAGAGGGCAACUUUGGGGCCGUUCCUUGUCUAUGUUCCUUGGAACAGGACGUCAUAGAGGGUGAGAAUCCCGUGUGGCGAGGAGUGCGGUUCUUUGUAAAGUGCCUUCGAAGAGUCGAGUUGUUUGGGAAUGCAGCUCUAAGUGGGUGGUAAAUUCCAUCUAAAGCUAAAUAUUGGCGAGAGACCGAUAGCGAACAAGUACAGUGAUGGAAAGAUGAAAAGAACUUUGAAAAGAGAGUGAAAAAGUACGUGAAAUUGUUGAAAGGGAAGGGCAUUUGAUCAGACAUGGUGUUUUGUGCCCUCUGCUCCUUGUGGGUAGGGGAAUCUCGCAUUUCACUGGGCCAGCAUCAGUUUUGGUGGCAGGAUAAAUCCAUAGGAAUGUAGCUUGCCUCGGUAAGUAUUAUAGCCUGUGGGAAUACUGCCAGCUGGGACUGAGGACUGCGACGUAAGUCAAGGAUGCUGGCAUAAUGGUUAUAUGCCGCCCGUC
rnacentral:rRNA from 1 species